rnacentral:rRNA from 1 species
CCUACGGGAGGCUGCAGUGAGGAAUAUUGGUCAAUGGUCGAGAGACUGAACCAGCCAAGCCGCGUGAGGGAUGAAGGUACAGAGUAUCGUAAACCUCUUUUGUCAGGGAACAAAGGCGGGGACGCGUCCCCGGACGAGUGUACCUGAAGAAACAGCAUCGGCUAACUCCGUGCCAGCAGCCGCGGUAAUACGGAGGAUGCGAGCGUUAUCCGGAUUUAUUGGGUUUAAAGGGUGCGCAGGCGGAUGGUUAAGUCAGCGGUCAAAGCACGGGGCUCACCCCCGUCCCGCCGUUGAAACUGGGAGGCUCGAGUUGGAGAGAAGGAUGCGGAAUGCGCGGUGUAGCGGUGAAAUGCAUAGAUA